AUGUCUGGAAGAGAUUUUUUUAAAGUGACAGAGUCGGGAAACUACGAAGGAGAUGGGAAAGAAGCAGAAAAACAAGAGCGAGGACAAUGCCAAAGAUGACAUGACAUUGAUGCUUUAGCAGCAGAGAUUGAGGGAGCUGGAGCAUCUAAACCCAAGGCUGGAGG